GGGCCGGUAGUUCAGCUUGGUAUGCUUCAUCCGGAGGCCAAUGAACGUCCGGUUUGCAACCGGAAGGUCGCGGGUUCAAAUCCCGCCCGGUCCACCA
rnacentral:tRNA from 1 species